AGAAAGUGUGCAAGAACGGUAGCCCUGCAGAUGUUGUUGGACUCCAUGUCCCUUCACACCCCAGCUAGCAUGACCAAUGUACAAGUCUGCAAUGCAAUUAAAGAGGAGCCAGAAGAUGAUUAAGAGCAGGAAACCACAAUCUCCAUGGAUGACUUGUCACAGUAGUUGUUCCUGGGACAUUUGCUCCUGAAAUUUUCGGCAAAGCUGAUAAAUUCUUCAUACUUUCUCAUUCCCACCCCUAAUAUCCUCUGUUCUGACAGUAACUUUUAAAAAAACAUUUUGUUGUUAACUGCUUUGAGAGAUGCCUGUAUUAGAAAAGCAAUGUAUAAAUGUUUGUUUGGAAA